rnacentral:rRNA from 1 species
ACAAUGUAGAGUUUGAUCCUGGCUCAGGAUGAACGCUAGCUACAGGCUUAACACAUGCAAGUCGAGGGGCAGCAUGACGGAAGCUUGCUUUCGUUGAUGGCGACCGGCGCACGGGUGAGUAACGCGUAUCCAACCUGCCCUUGUCCAUCGGAUAACCCGUCGAAAGGCGGACUAACACGAUAUGCAGUUCUCAGCAGGCAUCUAACGAGAACGAAAUGUGAAGGAGAAGGAUGGGGAUGCGUCUGAUUAGCUUGUUGGCGGGGUAACGGCCCACCAAGGCGACGAUCAGUAGGGGUUCUGAGAGGAAGGUCCCCCACAUUGGAACUGAGACACGGUCCAAACUCCUACGGGAGGCAGCAGUGAGGAAUAUUGGUCAAUGGGCGAGAGCCUGAACCAGCCAAGUAGCGUGCAGGAUGACGGCCCUAUGGGUUGUAAACUGCUUUUAUACGGGGAUAAAGUGAGCCACGUGUGGCUUAUUGCAGGUACCGUAUGAAUAAGGACCGGCUAAUUCCGUGCCAGCAGCCGCGGUAAUACGGAAGGUCCGGGCGUUAUCCGGAUUUAUUGGGUUUAAAGGGAGCGUAGGCCGUCUGUUAAGCGUGUUGUGAAAUGUCGGGGCUCAACCUGGGCAUUGCAGCGCGAACUGGCAGACUUGAGUGCACGGGAAGUAGGCGGAAUUCGUCGUGUAGCGGUGAAAUGCUUAGAUAUGACGAAGAACUCCGAUUGCGAAGGCAGCCUGCUGUAGUGCAACUGACGCUGAAGCUCGAAAGCGUGGGUAUCGAACAGGAUUAGAUACCCUGGUAGUCCACGCGGUAAACGAUGGAUGCUCGCUGUUUGCGUCUGACGUAAGCGGCCAAGCGAAAGCGUUAAGCAUCCCACCUGGGGAGUACGCCGGCAACGGUGAAACUCAAAGGAAUUGACGGGGGCCCGCACAAGCGGAGGAACAUGUGGUUUAAUUCGAUGAUACGCGAGGAACCUUACCCGGGCUUGAACUGCCGGCGAACGAUUCAGAGAUGAUGAGGCCCUUCGGGGCGCCGGUGGAGGUGCUGCAUGGUUGUCGUCAGCUCGUGCCGUGAGGUGUCGGCUUAAGUGCCAUAACGAGCGCAACCCCUGUUCUCAGUUGCCAUCGGGU